UACGGAGGGUGCGAGCGUUGUCCGGAAUCACUGGGCGUAAAGGGCGCGUAGGCGGCCUGAUAAGUAGGGGGUGAAAUCCUGCGGCUUAACCGCAGGGCUGCCUUCUAAACUGUCAGGCUCGAGCACAGUAGAGGCAGGUGGAAUUCCCGGUGUAGCGGUGGAAUGCGUAGAGAUCGGGAAGAACAUCAGUGGCGAAGGCGGCCUGCUGGGCUGUUGCUGACGCUGAGGCGCGACAGCGUGGGGGAGCAACGG
rnacentral:rRNA from 1 species